CAUUACCGAGUUUACAACUCCCAAACCCCUGUGAACAUACCACUUGUUGCCUCGGCGGAUCAGCCCGCUCCCGGUAAAACGGGACGGCCCGCCAGAGGACCCCUAAAACUCUGUUUCUAUAUGUAACUUCUGAGUAAAACCAUAAAUAAAUCAAAACUUUCAACAACGGAUCUCUUGGUUCUGGCAUCGAUGAAGAACGCAGCAAAAUGCGAUAAGUAAUGUGAAUUGCAGAAUUCAGUGAAUCAUCGAAUCUUUGAACGCACAUUGCGCCCGCCAGUAUUCUGGCGGGCAUGCCUGUUCGAGCGUCAUUUCAACCCUCAAGCACAGCUUGGUGUUGGGACUCGCGUUAAUUCGCGUUCCUCAAAUUGAUUGGCGGUCACGUCGAGCUUCCAUAGCGUAGUAGUAAAACCCUCGUUACUGGUAAUCGUCGCGGCCACGCCGUUAAACCCCAACUUCUGAAUGUUGACCUCGGAUCAGGUAGGAAUACCCGCUGAACUUAAGCAUAUCAAA
rnacentral:rRNA from 1 species